rnacentral:rRNA from 1 species
UGAAUUUCGGGAUUAGUGGGUUGGUCAUGCCUUGGUAUGUACUGCAUCCCGAGUAGCAUCCUUCUAAAGAACCAUGAUGUCAUUCAUUUGAUGUUAUGGGGAAUUAGGACUGUUACCUUGAAAAAAUUAGAGUGUUUAAAGCAAGCUUACGCUUGAAUACAUUAGCAUGGAAUAAUGAAAUAGGACAUCAGAUUCUAUUUUGUUGGUUUCUAGGAUCGAUGUAAUGAUUAAUAGGGAUAGUUGGGGGCAUUAGUAUUCAAUUGUCAGAGGUGAAAUUCUUGGAUUUAUUGAAGACUAACUACUGCGAAAGCAUUUGCCAAGGAUGUUUUCAUUAAUCAAGAACGAAAGUUAGGGGAUCGAAGACGAUCAGAUACC